CGUGGUGGGAGACAGUGUCAGGCGGGCAGUUUGACUGGGGCGGUCGCCUCCUAAAAGGUAACGGAGGCGCUCAAAGGUUCCCUCAGAAUGGUUGGAAAUCAUUCAUAGAGUGUAAAGGCAUAAGGGAGCUUGACUGCGAGACCUACAAGUCGAGCAGGGUCGAAAGACGGACUUAGUGAUCCGGUGGUUCCGCAUGGAAGGGCCAUCGCUCAACGGAUAAAAGCUACCCCGGGGAUAACAGGCUUAUCUCCCCCAAGAGUUCACAUCGACGGGGAGGUUUGGCACCUCGAUGUCGGCUCAUCGCAUCCUGGGGC
rnacentral:rRNA from 1 species